AGAUGUUGAAUAUUCGGACUCGGAUACGGACAGAUCUGAACCGCUCUAAACGAAUUUGGUCUCGAAUACGGUCGGAAAAUAUCCGUACCGUUUUCAUCCCUACUAAUUGAUGCAUGGUUGGGGUCCUGUGUUGUGCCUGUGCAAGCACAUCAUGAUCAAUUGAUCAUGUCAUAUGAGGAGCAGAGGAGGAAGUUGAUGAUAUAUACUAGCUAGCUCGCCUCUCAUAACUACGAAUAAUUUGGUUGACGUGGUAGUUGAUAUCCUGAAACUCA
rnacentral:lncRNA from 1 species